rnacentral:tRNA from 1 species
UAUUUAAAAAGAAAUCCUUAUCAUUGAUACCACAAAUCAAUAUUUUUAUUAAACUAUUUAAAU